UACGUAGGGUGCGAGCGUUGUCCGGAAUUACUGGGCGUAAAGAGCUCGUAGGUGGUUUGUCGCGUUGUCCGUGAAAACUCACAACUCAAUUGUGGGCGUGCGGGCGAUACGGGCAGACUGGAGUACUGCAGGGGAGACUGGAAUUCCUGGUGUAGCGGUGGAAUGCGCAGAUAUCAGGAGGAACACCGGUGGCGAAGGCGGGUCUCCGGGCAGUAACUGACGCUGAGGAGCGAAAGCGUGGGGAGCGAACGGG
rnacentral:rRNA from 1 species